GUGGUUGUAGCUCAGUGGUAGAGCACUUGCCUAGCACGUGUGAGGCACUGGGUUCGAUUCUCAGCACCACA
rnacentral:tRNA from 1 species